CCCCCCUGGCAAUGGGCAGAGAGACACCUUGUUGGUGGUGUUAUUCUCACAUCUGGCAAGGGCAGAAAUGGCAGUUCUUUGUUCAUCCUAGCUUGAUGCCUGGCUUGGUGACCAAAGGUGCCUUAUGCCCAGGAUUCAUAA
rfam:Mus musculus chromosome 2, GRC primary reference assembly.